AUGAAGAGUUUGAUCCUGGCUCAGGAUGAACGCUAGCGGCAGGCUUAACACAUGCAAGUCGAGGGGUAACAGAGAAAGCUUGCUUUCUGCUGACGACCGGCGCACGGGUGCGUAACGCGUAUGCAACCUACCUUAUACUGGGGAAUAGCCCGAAGAAAUUCGGAUUAAUGCCCCAUAGUAUUGUCGAUUCGCAUGUUUUGACAAUUAAAGAUUACGGUAUAAGAUGGGCAUGCGUCCCAUUAGCUAGAUGGUAAGGUAACGGCUUACCAUGGCAACGAUGGGUAGGGGGCCUGAGAGGGUGAUCCCCCACACUGGUACUGAGACACGGACCAGACUCCUACGGGAGGCAGCAGUGGGGAAUCUUAGACAAUGGGCGCAAGCCUGAUCUAGCCAUGCCGCGUGAGUGAUGAAGGCCCUAGGGUCGUAAAGCUCUUUCGCCAGGGAUGAUAAUGACAGUACCUGGUAAAGAAACCCCGGCUAACUCCGUGCCAGCAGCCGCGGUAAUACGGAGGGGGUUAGCGUUGUUCGGAAUUACUGGGCGUAAAGCGCACGUAGGCGGAUCAGUCAGUCAGAGGUGAAAUCCCGGAGCUCAACUUCGGAACUGCCUUUGAUACUGCUGAUCUAGAGUCCGGGAGAGGUGCAUGGAAUUCCGAGUGUAGAGGUGAAAUUCGUA
rnacentral:rRNA from 11 species